AAAUGGGCGGAAACACUCGCGAUUCUGGCUUGCAGGCGUGGGGUGGGGCCUUGAUAACGUAUGACGUCUGAACAUUUCUCCAAAACGGUACAAGGGGAAAAAGGAAAAUCCCUUCUCCCGUUGCAGAGGUGUGGGUGGUUUUGAAUGCAGAAACAGUCUGGAGUCAUCUCUCCGCUUUCCUCCAUGGUAAAGAAAAAGACAGCUGUGAAAGUUGAAGGACAAAAGCAGCUGGGAUCCGGGGCUGUGCUACUUGCAGCUGCAGUUUCUGGAACAUUCAUCAUUUUGGAGCGGUAGUGAUCCCCAGCCAGGAAAUACAAUAUGGGAUCGAUGCAACUGUUGAUGCUGGCCAGCGGCCUGGUGAUCUUGCAAGAAACAGCACCCCAACUCUGUUCUGUUGCCAGGCCAGCACC